rnacentral:rRNA from 1 species
GUCCGCAAGGAUGAGUACAGUGGCGUACGGGUGAGUAAUACGUGGAUCAUCUACCUUUUAGUGGGGAAUACCGUUGGGAAACCGACGACGAUACCGCAUAAUCCCGAGAGGGGAAAGCAGCAAUGCGCUGAAAGAGGAGUCCGCGGCUGAUUAGCUAGUUGGCAGGGUAAUGGCCUACCAAGGCAACGAUCAGUAGCCGGCCUGAGAGGGCACACGGCCACACUGGCACUGAAACACGGGCCAGACUCCUACGGGAGGCAGCAGUGGGGAAUCUUGCACAAUGGGGGCAACCCUGAUGCAGCGACGCCGCGUGAGCGAUGAAGCCCUUCGGGGUGUAAAGCUCUUUCGGCAGGGAAGAUUAUGACGGUACCUGCAGAAGCAGCUGCGGCUAACUACGUGCCAGCAGCCGCGGUAAUACGUAGGCAGCAAGCGUUGUUCGGAGUUACUGGGCGUAAAGGGUGUGUAGGCGGUUCCCUAAGUUUGGUGUGAAAUCUCCCGGCUUAACCGGGAGGGUGCGCCGAAAACUGGGGAGCUAGAGUGUGGGAGAGGAAAGUGGAAUUCCUGGUGUAGCGGUGAAAUGCGUAGAUAUCAGGAGGAACACCUGCGGUGUAGACGGCUUUCUGGACCAUAACUGACGCUGAGACACGAAAGCGUGGGUAGCAAACAGGAUUAGAUACCCUGGUAGUCCACGCCCUAAACGAUGCAUAUUUGGUGUGGGCGAUUCAUUUCGUCCGUGCCGGAGCUAACGCGUUAAAUAUGCCGCCUGGGGAGUACAGUC